AUAAUGAUACUUCAACAGUUUAUGCCGGCUCAUCUUGAAUAAGGGGCGGAGGUGAGAUUCCUAUGU
rfam:Peptoanaerobacter stomatis strain OBRC8 ctg120007290643, whole genome shotgun sequence.